rnacentral:rRNA from 1 species
AGAGUUUGAUCCUGGCUCAGAUUGAACGCUGGCGGCAUGCUUUACACAUGCAAGUCGAACGGUAACGCGGGGGCAACCCUGGCGACGAGUGGCGAACGGGUGAGUAAUACAUCGGAACAUAUCCAGUAGCGGGGGAUAACCUAUCGAAAGAUGGACUAAUACCGCAUACGAUCUACGGAUGAAAGCAGGGGACCGCAAGGCCUUGCACUAUUGGAGUGGCCGAUGUCGGAUUAGCUAGUUGGUGAGGUAAAGGCUUACCAAGGCGACGAUCCGUAGCUGGUCUGAGAGGACGAUCAGCCACACUGGAACUGAGACACGGUCCAGACUCCUACGGGAGGCAGCAGUGGGGAAUUUUGGACAAUGGGCGCAAGCCUGAUCCAGCCAUGCCGCGUGAGUGAAGAAGGCCUUCGGGUUGUAAAGCUCUUUCGGUGAAGACGAAACGGUUCGUGCUAAUAACGCGGACUAAUGACGGUACUCACAGAAGAAGCACCGGCUAACUACGUGCCAGCAGCCGCGGUAAUACGUAGGGUGCAGGCGUUAAUCGGAAUUACUGGGCGUAAAGCGUGCGCAGGCGGUUUGCUAAGACAGGUGUGAAAUCCCCGGGCUUAACCUGGGAAUUGCGCUUGUAACUGGCAAGCUAGAGUGUGGCAGAGGGGGGUGAAUUCCACGUGUAGCAGUGAAAUGCGUAGAUAUGUGGAGGAACACCGAUGGCGAAGGCAGCCCCCUGGGUUAACACUGACGCUCAUGCACGAAAGCGUGGGGAGCAAACAGGAUUAGAUACCCUGGUAGUCCACGCCCUAAACUAUGUCAACUAGUUGUCGGGGAAGAAAUUCCUUGGUAGCGAAGCUAACGCGUGAAGUUGACCGCCUGGGGAGUACGGCCGCAAGGUUAAAACUCAAAGGAAUUGACGGGGACCCGCACAAGCGGUGGAUUAUGUGGAUUAAUUCGAUGCAACGCGAAAAACCUUACCUACCCUUGACAUGCUAGGAAGCCCGCAGAGAUGUGGGUGUGCCCGAAAGGGAACCUAGACACAGGUGCUGCAUGGCUGUCGUCAGCUCGUGUCGUGAGAUGUUGGGUUAAGUCCCGCAACGAGCGCAACCCUUGUCAUUAGUUGCUACAUUCAGUUGGGCACUCUAAUGGGACCGCCGGUGACAAACCGGAGGAAGGUGGGGAUGACGUCAAGUCCUCAUGGCCCUUAUGGGUAGGGCUUCACACGUAAUACAAUGGUCGGUACAGAGGGCUGCCAACCCGCAAGGGGGAGCUAAUCCCAGAAAGCCGAUCGUAGUCCGGAUUGUAGUCUGCAACUCGACUGCAUGAAGCCGGAAUCGCUAGUAAUCGCGGAUCAGCAUGUCGCGGUGAAUACGUUCCCGGGUCUUGUACACACCGCCCGUCACACCAUGGGAGUGGGUUCCACCAGAAGUAGUUAGCCUAACCGCAAGGAGGGCGAUUACCACGGUGAGAUUCAUGACUGGGGUGAAGUCGUAACAAGGUA